CACAUGAUCCCAGAAAUCCAUGCACACACUGAUGCAAGUCAGAGAGAGGAGCCAACUGAGGGAUGUUUCUCAAACGUUUAAUGACAUCACAGCAGUCACAUUGGAAACACUUUCAGCAGAGCUGUCUGGUAACCUCUGAACACCCACUGCAUGCACUGUACUAAAUGCGAUGCCAUCUGAGUGACUGUGGCAUGCCAGUCAGAGUCUGGCGAGAGUUGAAAGCAUGGAGGUCACAUGGGCUCUCUGUGUUUCCAAUUCCCUGCUCCGAUGCUCUCUGGUGCUGAAUGUUAAUAAAGUUGGCAAUGCCACUUUUGAACCAGGUGCUGCCCCCUCGCUUCCUCUACUGCCAUCCAGUGGGACUUCGGCUGACAGCGCUGUCAGCAGCCACGCAAUGCAGGAGAGACGCUGCUGAACUAUGACCAGGAAGCACACUAUAUUGUGUGGAAAUCUUACGUUUUCACAUCAUAACUGAUGAUCAAAGGCGUUUAUAGUAGAUUAGUGUCUCAGAAUCAUUGAAAAAAUGUGAGGAUCAAGAGACCACACUAUCUUGUCAAUAUUACUACUUUCUACCAAAGGAAUAAAAAUAAAUUAAAAGUGUUAUUUACUCAGCAUGCUCUGUGGUAAUGUGUACUUUUUUCUAUUUAGAUUUUUUUUGGUUUCAAUAUUUUUUGGCAAAUAUGACUUAAUCCAACCAAGACUACUUGAAAGGCUGAAUACCACUUAAGAAGCAAGACAUUUUUUUAUGUAUAAUUUGGGUGAACCGACACUUAACCUAAAAAAUAAUACAUUAUGUGAAAAACCUAAACCUUGAAGGAAUACUGAUGGUCAACAUUAUGCAGUAUAUGCAACAACUUUGAA
rnacentral:lncRNA from 15 species